ensembl:lncRNA
CCCUGUCUCUAAUAAUGUCCCUGCCUCUACUGCUGUCCCUGACUCUAAUGCUGCUCACAACUCUACUGCUACCCCUGCCUCUACUGCUGUCCCUGACUCUAAUGCUGCCCACAACUCUACUGCUACCCCUGCCUCUACAGCUGCCCACAACUCUACUACUACCCAUGCCUCUACUGCUGCCAUUGACUCUAAUGCUGCCCACAACUCGACUGCUACCCCUGCCUCUACAGCUGCCCACAACUCUACAGCUACCCCUGCCUCUACUGCUACCCCUGCCUCUACUGCUGUUCCUGACUCUAAUGCUGCCCACAACUCUACUGCUACCCCUGCAUCUACUGCUGCCCACAACUCUACUGCUACCCCUGCCUCUACUGCUGUCCCUGACUCUAAUGCUGCCCACAACUCUACUGCUGCCCACAACUCUACUGCUACCCCUGCCUCUACUGCUGUCCCUGACUCUAAUGCUGCCUACAACUCUACUGCUACCCCUGCCUCUACUGCUGUUCCUGACUCUAAUGCUGCCCACAACUCUACUACUACCCUGCCUCUACAGCUGCCCACAACUCUACUGCUACCCCUGCCUCUACUGCUGCCCACAACUCUACAGCUACCCCUGCCUCUACUGCUACCCCUGCCUCUACUGCUGUCCCUGACUCUAAUGCUGCCCACAACUCUACUGCUACCCCUGCAUCUACUGCUGCCCACAACUCUACUGCUGCCCACAACUCUACUGCUACCCCUGCCUCUACUGCUGUCCCUGACUCUAAUGCUGCCUACAACUCUACUGCUACCCCUGCCUCUACUGCUGUCCCUGACUCAAAUGCUGCCCACAACUCUACUGCUACCCCUGCCUCUACUGCUGUCCCUGACUCUAAUGCUGCCCACAACUCUACUGCUACCCCUGCCUCUACUGCUGUCCCUGACUCUAAUGCUGCCCACAACUCUACUGCUACCCCUGCCUCUACUGCUGUCCCUGACUCUACUACUGCCAUUGCCUCUAAUGCUGUUCCUGACUCUUAUUCUAGCCACGCCUCUACUGCUGCCCCUGCACCUGCCCCUGCCUAUACUGCUGCCUCUGACUCUACUACUGCCCAUGUCUCUACUUCUGCCCAUGUCUCUACUGCUGCUCCUGUUACUAGUACAGCCCCAGCAUCUAAUACUGCCCACGCCUCUACUGCUGCCCCUGCUGCUGCCCCUGUCUCUACUACUGCCCCUGUCUCUACUAUUGCCCCUGUCUCUACUGCUGCCAUGUCUCUACUGCUGAU